AGGCAUGCGAGUCGAGAGUCUUAGGGACUCGGCAGACGGCUCAGUAACACGUAGAUAAUCUGCCCUUAGGUAGGGGAUAACCUCGAGAAAUUGAGAAUAAUACCCUAUAGGUCUAAGAUGCUGGAAUGUUUUUAGAUUGAAAGCUCCGGCGCCUAAGGAUGAGUCUGCGGCCUAUCAGGUUGUAGUGAGUGUAACGGACUCACUAGCCGACGACGGGUACGGGCCCUGAGAGGGGAAGCCCGGAGAUGGACUCUGAGACACGAGUCCAGGCCCCAAGGGGCGCAGCAGCUACGAAAACUUCACAAUGUGGGAAACCGCGAUGAGGGAAUUCCAAGUGCUGCAGUUUAACUGUAGCUGUUUACUUGCCUAAAAAGCAAGUAGAGUAAGGGCUGGGUAAGACUGGUGCCAGCCGCCGCGGUAAUACCAGCAGCCCUAGUGGUGAUCGUUUUUAUUGGGCCUAAAGCGUCCGUAGCCGGUUUGGUAAACCCUUGGGUAAAUCGAGCAGCUUAACUGUUCGAAUUCUGAGGAGACUGCCAGACUUGGGACCGGGAGAAGUUGGAAGUACUUUUGGGGUAGGGGUGAAAUCCUGUAAUCCCAAAAGGACUACCGGUGGCGAAGGCGUCCAACUAGAACGGGUUCGACGGUAAGGGACGAAGCCCUGGGUCACGAACCGGAUUAGAUACCCGGGUAGUCCAGGGUGUAAACGCUG
rnacentral:rRNA from 1 species